rnacentral:rRNA from 1 species
CCUACGGGUGGCAGCAGUGGGGAAUAUUGGGCAAUGGGCGCAAGCCUGACCCAGCAAUGCCGCGUGAAGGAAGAAGGCUUUCGGGUUUUAAACUUCUUUGACUGGGGAAGAGCAGAAGACGGUACCCUGAAAACAAUCCACGGCUAACUACGUGCCAGCAGCCGCGGUAAUACGAAGGUGGCAAGCGUUGUCCGGAUUUACUGGGUGUAAAGGGCGUGUAGCCGGGAAGGCAAGUCAGAUGUGAAAUCCUGAGGCUUAACCUCCGUAUUGCAUUUGAAACUGUUUUUCUUGAGUACUGUAGAGGCAGACGGAAUUCCUUGUGUAGCGGGGAAAUGCGUAGAUAUAAGGAAGAACACCAGUGGCGAAGGCAGUCUACUGAACUGCAACUGACAGUGAGGCGCGAAAGUGUGGGGAGCAAACAGGAUUAGAUACCCCUGUAGUC